GACGAACGCUGGCGGCGUGCUUAACACAUGCAAGUCGAGCGGUAAGGCUCCUUCGGGAGUACACGAGCGGCGAACGGGUGAGUAACACGUGAGUAACCUGCCCCAAUCAUCGGGAUAACCAUUGGAAACGAUGGCUAAUACCGAAUACGACCACCGAAGGCAUCUUCUGGUGGUGGAAAGCUCCGGCGGAUUGGGAUGGACUCGCGGCCUAUCAGCUUGUUGGUGAGGUAAUGGCUCACCAAGGCAACGACGGGUAGCCGGCCUGAGAGGGUGACCGGCCACACUGGGACUGAGACACGGCCCAGACUCCUACGGGAGGCAGCAGUAGGGAAUAUUGCGCAAUGGGCGGAAGCCUGACGCAGCGACGCCGCGUGAGCGAAGAAGGCCUUCGGUCGUAAGCUCUGUCCUUGGGAAGAAGGCGAAAGCUUGACGGUACCCAAGAAGAAAGACCCCGGCGUAACUACGUG
rnacentral:rRNA from 1 species